AGGGAAUAUUAGAAAUGGACGAAAGUCUGAUCUAGCAACACCGCGUGUGCGAAGAAGGCCUUCGGGUCGUAAAGCACUUUUUGGAAGGAAUAGGAAGGAAUGUACUUCCAGAAUAAGUCUCGGCUAACUACGUGCCAGCAGCCGCGGUAACACGUAGGAGGCAAACGUUAUCCGGAUUUACUGGGCGUAAAGCGCGUGUAGGUGGUACUGUAAGUAGGGCGUGAAAGCUCCCGGCUCAACUGGGAGAGGCCGUUCUAAACUACAGAACUAGAGGAUGGUAGAGGGAGGUGGAAUUCCAGGUGUAGCGGUGGAAUGCGCAGAUGUCUGGAGGAACACCGGUGGCGAAGGCGGCCUCCUGGACCAUUCCUGACACUCAGACGCGAAAGCUAGGGUAGCAAACGG
rnacentral:rRNA from 1 species